rnacentral:rRNA from 1 species
AUGGAUUAGGCAUGCAAGUCGAACGGGAGCAGCAAUGCUCCAGUGGCGCAAGGGUGAGGAACACGUGAACAACCUGCCUUCGAGUUGGGGAUAGCUUCUGGAAACGGGAGAUAAUACCGAAUAACAUCAUUGGAUCGCAUGAUCUGGUGAUCAAAGCAGCAAUGCGCUUGAAGAGGGGUUCGCGUCCCAUUAGCUAGUUGGUGAGGUAACGGCCCACCAAGGCGAUGAUGGGUAGCUGGUCUGAGAGGACGAUCAGCCACAUUGGGACUGAGAUACUGCCCAGACUCCUACGGGAGGCUGCAGUCGAGAAUUUUGGGCAAUGGACGAAAGUCUGACCCAGCAAAUGCCGCGUGCGGGAUGAAGGUCUUCGGAUUGUAAACCGCUGUCAAGAGGGACGAAACAUGACGGUACCUCUGGAGGAAGCCACGGCUAACUACGUGCCAGCAGCAGC